rnacentral:rRNA from 1 species
UACGUAGGGGGCAAGCGUUGUCCGGAUUUAUUGGGCGUAAAGAGCGUGUAGGCGGCCUGGAAGGUCAGCUGUGAAAACUCGAGGCUCAACCUCGAGACGUCGGUUGAAACCACCUGGCUAGAGUCCGGAAGAGGAGAGUGGAAUUCCCGGUGUAGCGGUGAAAUGCGUAGAGAUCGAGAGGAACACCAGUGGCGAAGGCGAGUUCCUGGACAAGUCCUGACGCUGAGGCACGAAAGCCAGGGGAGCAAACAGG